rnacentral:rRNA from 1 species
AUUGAACGCUGGCGGCAUGCCUUACACAUGCAAGUCGAACGGCAGCACGGGAGCAAUCCUGGUGGCGAGUGGCGAACGGGUGAGUAAUACAUCGGAACGUGCCCAGUCGUGGGGGAUAACGCAGCGAAAGCUGCGCUAAUACCGCAUACGAUCUAUGGAUGAAAGCGGGGGACCGUAAGGCCUCGCGCGAUUGGAGCGGCCGAUGUCAGAUUAGGUAGUUGGUGGGGUAAAGGCUCACCAAGCCAACGAUCUGUAGCUGGUCUGAGAGGACGACCAGCCACACUGGGACUGAGACACGGCCCAGACUCCUACGGGAUGCAGCAGUGGGGAAUUUUGGACAAUGGGCGCAAGCCUGAUCCAGCAAUGCCGCGUGCAGGAAGAAGGCCUUCGGGUUGUAAACUGCUUUUGUACGGAACGAAACGGUCCUGGUUAAUACCUGGGGCUAAUGACGGUACCGUAAGAAUAAGCACCGGCUAACUACGUGCCAGCAGCCGCAGUAAAAC